rnacentral:rRNA from 1 species
GAUGAACGCUAGCGGCAGGCCUAAUACAUGCAAGUCGAACGGUGUCUUCGGACAUAGUGGCGCACGGGUGCGUAACACGUAUGCAACCUACCUUACAUUGGGGGAUAGCCUUUCGAAAGGGAGAUUAAUACCGCAUAAGACAGUAGCUGGGCAUCCAGCAGCUGUUAAAGAUUUAUCGAUGUAAGAUGGGCAUGCGACCAAUUAGUUAGUUGGCGAGGUAACGGCUCACCAAGACUAUGAUUGGUAGGGGAACUGAGAGGUCAAUCCCCCACACUGGCACUGAGAUACGGGCCAGACUCCUACGGGAGGCAGCAGUAGGGAAUAUUGGGCAAUGGACGCAAGUCUGACCCAGCCAUGCCGCGUGCAGGAUGAAGGCGUUAUGCGUCGUAAACUGCUUUUAUACAGGAAGAAACGACUCUUGCGAGAGGCAUUGACGGUACUGUAUGAAUAAGCACCGGCUAACUCCGUGCCAGCAGCCGCGGUAAUACGGAGGGUGCAAGCGUUGUCCGGAUUUAUUGGGUUUAAAGGGUGCGCAGGUGGUUUAUUAAGUCAGUGGUGAAAGACGGUCGCUCAACGAUUGCAGUGCCAUUGAAACUAGUAGACUUGAGUAAAGUAGAGGUGGGCGGAAUUGAUAGUGUAGCGGUGAAAUGCAUAGAUAUUAUCAAGAACUCCAAUUGCGUAGGCAGCUCACUUGGCUUUUACUGACACUCAUGCACGAAAGUGUGGGUAUCAAACAGGAUUAGAUACCCUGGUAGUCCACACUGUAAACGAUGAUAACUAGGUGUCGGCCGAAUCUGGUCGGUGCCACAGCGAAAGCGUUAAGUUAUCCACCUGGGGAGUACGCCGGCAACGGUG